ACUAAAAAAAAAGAAACAGAAGUAUGGUAAGUGAAGUGGUUUUAUGGGUGGAGACACCUGAUCACUGACAGUUAAAACAAGAUCUAAGCUGCUUGACACACUCACUCAGCAGAGAGGGGUGACAAUAUAUAUAUAUUGUUUAUCUGCUUUCUGUGCUGCCUGAAUAAAUACAGAAUGCUGUGCCAUGUGUUAAUCUUAAUCUGUGUUAAUAGCGUUGUGGUUGGUAAUACUAUAAACUCAAAGGAACAAUAUAUUUCGAGACAUGUUGGAGAAAAUGUGACAUUAACCUGUGAAUACUCCACCAGCAGCAAUGGUCCUUACCUCUCCUGGUAUCGCCAAUAUUCCAAUCAAAUUGAAUAUCUACUUUAUAGAGGAGCUAAGAGCUAUUCUAGCAUGAAGCAUGAUGGAAACUAUGGAAAAGGAAAGUUUGAUUCCAUCGCCAAUGAUACAUCCACUCAAUUAAUCAUCUUCAGUCUGACUGUGGAAGAUUCUGCUUUAUACUUGUGUGCUCUUAGCGAUGCAGCACAAUGGUGAUUGAGCAUCACAGUUCAGUGUAAAAACCUUCCUCUACAACAUUACUAUAGAACCAGCAGGCGGCACAGUUUUGUUUUGCAGAGUAACACAGGAACAAUCUAUUCACUGAUGUAUUUGCUGUAAGGUUUCAUUUAUAAAGGCACAAACCUUUUCUAACUAAAGUAUAAUUGAUGAAGA